GUAAAAAAAUGUUAAAAACCCCUCCUUUAUGGUAUAAGAUUGCAUUGUGUACUAGACAGAUAAGAACACAGGAAAGGUAGUUAAAGUUACAGAACAGAUGAGGAAGUUUCACCACAAAGUCGAGGCCGUGUGUGUGUGUGCGUGUGUUUGUGAAGAUAACAGCUGCCUAAAAUCAAGGAGACACCCUCUCUGUGAGGAGAGAAUAAAAACAGGGAAAACUUGGUUCAGGGUUCAUUUUAAGACGAGAUCUUGGUGGACCAGCUCUCCAUUACGGAAAAAAAGUACCUAGUACCUGCUAACGGGUAGUUUUUUUAGUACCAACUCAGUGGAGGUUCCAAGUGAGCUGA